rnacentral:rRNA from 1 species
UACAGAGGUGGCAAGCGUUGUUCGGAAUUACUGGGCGUAAAGGGCGCGUAGGCGGCUUGGUCAGUCCCGUGUGAAAUCCCUCGGCUCAACUGAGGAACUGCACGGGAAACUGCCUGGCUUGAGUGCAGAAGAGGAGAGUGGAAUUCCACGUGUAGCGGUGAAAUGCGUAGAGAUGUGGAGGAACACCAGUGGCGAAGGCGACUCUCUGGGCUGUAACUGACGCUGAGGCACGAAAGCUAGGGUAGCGAACGGG